GCAUAUCAAAAGCGGAGGAAAAGAAACCAACAGGGAUUGCCUCAGUAGCGGCGAGUGAAGCGGCAAAAGCUCAAAUUUGAAAUCUGGCGUCUUUGGCGUCCGAGUUGUAAUUUGAAGAAGGUAUCUUUGGGCCCGGCUCUUGUCUAUGUUCCUUGGAACAGGACGUCACAGAGGGUGAGAAUCCCGUGCGAUGAGAUGACCCGGGUCUGUGUAAAGUUCCUUCGACGAGUCGAGUUGUUUGGGAAUGCAGCUCUAAGUGGGUGGUAAAUUCCAUCUAAAGCUAAAUAUUGGCGAGAGACCGAUAGCGAACAAGUACAGUGAUGGAAAGAUGAAAAGAACUUUGAAAAGAGAGUGAAAAAGUACGUGAAAUUGUUGAAAGGGAAGGGCUUGAGAUCAGACUUGGUAUUUUGCAUGCUGCUCUCUCGGGGGCGGCCGCUGCGGUUUACCGGGCCAGCAUCGGUUUGGAGCGGCAGGAUAAUGGCGGAGGAAUGUGGCACGGCUUCUGCUGUGUGUUAUAGCCUCUGACGAUGCUGCCAGCCUAGACCGAGGACUGCGGUUUUUAACCUAGGAUGUUGGCAUAAUGAUCUUAAGUCGCCCGUCUUGAAACACGGAC
rnacentral:rRNA from 1 species